GUACGAGCGCAACCCUUGUCCUUAGUUACCAGCACGUUAUGGUGGGCACUCUAAGGAGACUGCCGGUGACAAACCGGAGGAAGGUGGGGAUGACGUCAAGUCAUCAUGGCCCUUACGGCCUGGGCUACACACGUGCUACAAUGGUCGGUACAAAGGGUUGCCAAGCCGCGAGGUGGAGCUAAUCCCAUAAAACCGAUCGUAGUCCGGAUCGCAGUCUGCAACUCGACUGCGUGAAGUCGGAAUCGCUAGUAAUCGUGAAUCAGAAUGUCACGGUGAAUACGUUCCCGGGCCUU
rnacentral:rRNA from 2 species